GCUUAUGGUCGUAGUGGUCGAAGGCGUGAGGCUUAUGUCCUCAAUGGGCGACACCAGUCGCGGGUUCGAAUCCCGCUCAGGGCA
rnacentral:tRNA from 1 species